rnacentral:rRNA from 1 species
GAUGAACGCUGGCGGCGUGCUUAACACAUGCAAGUCGAACGAAGCACUUUUACAGAUUUCUUCGGAAUGAAGUUUUGGUGACUGAGUGGCGGACGGGUGAGUAACGCGUGGGUAACCUGCCUCACACAGGGGGAUAACAGUUGGAAACGGCUGCUAAUACCGCAUAAGCGCACAGUACCGCAUGGUACAGUGUGAAAAACUCCGGUGGUGUGAGAUGGACCCGCGUCUGAUUAGCUAGUUGGCAGGGCAACGGCCUACCAAGGCGACGAUCAGUAGCCGACCUGAGAGGGUGACCGGCCACAUUGGGACUGAGACACGGCCCAAACUCCUACGGGAGGCAGCAGUGGGGAAUAUUGCACAAUGGGGGAAACCCUGAUGCAGCGACGCCGCGUGAGCGAAGAAGUAUUUCGGUAUGUAAAGCUCUAUCAGCAGGGAAGAAGAAAUGACGGUAC